GACGAACGCUGGCGGCGUGCUUAACACAUGCAAGUCGAACGAUGAAAGAGGAGCUUGCUCCUCUGGAUUAGUGGCGAACGGGUGAGUAACACGUGAGCAAUCUGCCCCUGACUCCGGAAUAACUACGGGAAACUGUAGCUAAUACCGGAUAUGCGCCGAACAGGCAUCUGUAUCGGUGGGAAAGAAUUUCGGUCAGGGAUGAGCUCGCGGCCUAUCAGCUUGUUGGUGAGGUAACGGCUCACCAAGGCGACGACGGGUAGCCGGCCUGAGAGGGUGACCGGGCAAAUUGGGGACGGACAACGGCCCCAGAGCCCGAGGGGGGCAAAAGGGGGGAAAUUUUGCAAAGGGGGCGAAGGCGGGAGGCAGCAACCCCGGGGGGGGAAGAACGGCUUGCGGUUUGAAAACCUCUUUUGGCGGGAAAAAAGAGAAGGGGAGGGUACCUGAAAAAAAGGCGCGGGCUAACUAGGGC
rnacentral:rRNA from 1 species